GAGUUUGAUCCUGGCUCAGAUUGAACGCUGGCGGCAGGCUUAACACAUGCAAGUCGAACGGUAACAUGAGUGCUUGCACUUGAUGACGAGUGGCGGACGGGUGAGUAAUGUAUGGGGAUCUGCCGAAUGGAGGGGGACAACAGUUGGAAACGACUGCUAAUACCGCAUAAAGUUGAGAGACCAAAGCAUGGGACCUUCGGGCCAUGCGCCAUUUGAUGAACCCAUAUGGGAUUAGCUAGUUGGUAGGGUAAUGGCUUACCAAGGCGACGAUCUCUAGCUGGUCUGAGAGGAUGACCAGCCACACUGGAACUGAGACACGGUCCAGACUCCUACGGGAGGCAGCAGUGGGGAAUAUUGCACAAUGGGGGAAACCCUGAUGCAGCCAUGCCGCGUGUAUGAAGAAGGCCUUCGGGUUGUAAAGUACUUUCGGUGAUGAGGAAGGUGGUGUAUCUAAUAGGUGCAUCAAUUGACGUUAAUUACAGAAGAAGCACCGGCUAACUCCGUGCCAGCAGCCGCGGUAAUACGGAGGGUGCGAGCGUUAAUCGGAAUGACUGGGCGUAAAGGGCAUGUAGGCGGAUAAUUAAGUUAGGUGUGAAAGCCCUGGGCUCAACCUAGGAAUUGCACUUAAAACUGGUUAACUAGAGUAUUGUAGAGGAAGGUAGAAUUCCACGUGUAGCGGUGAAAUGCGUAGAGAUGUGGAGGAAUACCGGUGGCGAAGGCGGCCUUCUGGACAGAUACUGACGCUGAGAUGCGAAAGCGUGGGGAGCAAACAGGAUUAGAUACCCUGGUAGUCCACGCUGUAAACGAUGUCGAUUUGGAGUUUGUUGCCUAGAGUGAUGGGCUCCGAAGCUAACGCGAUAAAUCGACCGCCUGGGGAGUACGGCCGCAAGGUUAAAACUCAAAUGAAUUGACGGGGGCCCGCACAAGCGGUGGAGCAUGUGGUUUAAUUCGAUGCAACGCGAAGAACCUUACCUGGUCUUGACAUCCACAGAAUCUUGCAGAGAUGUGAGAGUGCCUUCGGGAACUGUGAGACAGGUGCUGCAUGGCUGUCGUCAGCUCGUGUUGUGAAAUGUUGGGUUAAGUCCCGCAACGAGCGCAACCCUUAUCCUUUGUUGCCAUCGGUUAGGCCGGGAACUCAAAGGAGACUGCCGUUGAUAAAGCGGAGGAAGGUGGGGACGACGUCAAGUCAUCAUGGCCCUUACGGCCAGGGCUACACACGUGCUACAAUGGCGUAUACAAAGGGAGGCGA
rnacentral:rRNA from 1 species